rnacentral:rRNA from 1 species
UACGAAGGGGGCUAGCGUUGUUCGGAAUUACUGGGCGUAAAGCGCACGUAGGCGGACAUUUAAGUCAGGGGUGAAAUCCCGGGGCUCAACCCCGGAACGGCCUUUGAUACUGGGUGUCUUGAGUUCGGAAGAGGUGAGUGGAAUUGCGAGUGUAGAGGUGAAAUUCGUAGAUAUUCGCAGGAACACCAGUGGCGAAGGCGGCUCACUGGUCCGAUACUGACGCUGAGGUGCGAAAGCGUGGGAGCAACAGG